GAUGACAACCGACCAAUCGGCACAUUCGAGGACCGCGAUCUCAUAAUGCGGAAGGCAUGGAGACGUGCGCAGUAUCUCGCUGAUUUGUUUUGGCGCCGUUGGAUCCGUGAAUACCUACCGGAGUUGGCACGGCGAACAAAAUGGUAUGAUCCCUGCCCCCCGAUUGGAAUUGGAGACAUCGUGGUGGUGUGUGAUCCGCAAUUGCCUCGCAACAAGUGGCCCAUGGGCCGCAUUACUGAUGUUUUUCCCGGACCGGACAAGAAGAUUCGUUCGGCCAAUGUACAGACGAAGGAAGGAGUUUAUCAUCGCCCUGUAGCGAUACUGGCUCGAUUGGAUGUUCAAAAGGAGAUUGAUACUUAGAAAUAAGAAAUGAUGAUUGUUAGUUCUUAAAAAAGGUGUGGGUGCAGGUGCACCAGAAGGGGGAAAUGUUGAGGAUUGAAUAGCCCCUUAUAGUUCCUUUGGGGAAAUUGAUAGGUUUAGUUUAUAGUUAAUCGCAGUAGGCGUAUUCUUGCAGAGAAAAAUAAGUGAAGUCAAAGAGACGCUAAGAUAAAUUUGUGAAAAUCAUAUAAAAAAGAAUUUGUCGGCGCCAAAGGAUGGCAAAAAUAUUGAGUGAUUAAGAUAGCCGAUUGAAGAAAGGUAAAAAUGGUAGAUAAUAUAUAUAUUAUAAUGAAAAUGUAGCUAAUUAAUACUAAAUUUGAAUAGGAUUUUGAUAAAGGCAAACGAUAGGCGUGAAGGGACAAAUAGCGGCUAGCUAUUAAAAUAGGUAAAAUCAUUUGUAGCACAUUUAGAAAUAAUUUAAUUAGAACAAUUUAUUGCAGAAUCCCUCACAUUCAUACAUACUUUCGCCAUUGGACCUCAUUUGCUUACAAUUGCCAUCCUCGCCACCCACCCACACCGUAGAAUAAUUUUGGAAAUUAAAAUAUAUAAAUACAGUCCA